GCCUGCCCAGUGACUAUAUGUUCAACGGCCGCGGUAUUCUGACCGCGCAAAGGUAGCGUAAUCACUUGUCUUCUAAAUAAAGACUAGUAUGAACGGCCACACGAAGACUUAACUGUCUCCCUUGUCCAAUCAGUGAAACUGAUCUCCUCGUGCAGAAGCGAGGAUAAACACAUAAGACGAGAAGACCCUAUGGAGCUUUAAACUUAAUAUCAACUACCCUCUUUUUACCCCUCUAAGGAGCUGACAAGAUUACUAGACUCAAUAUAAGUUUUAGGUUGGGGCGACCAUGGAGAAAAAAACAACCUCCCUGAUGAUUUUAAAACCAAGAGCCACAGCUCUAAGUAUUAGGACUCUUAACUCCCAUUGACCCAUUUUUUUGAUCAACGAACCAAGUUACCCUAGGGAUAACAGCGCAAUCCAUUUCAAGAGUCCCUAUCGACAAAUGGGUUUACGACCUCGAUGUUGGAUCAGGGCAUCCUAGUGGUGCAACCGCUACUAAUGGUUCGUUUGUUCAACGAUUAAAGCCCU
rnacentral:rRNA from 1 species